UGAACGCUAGCGACAGGCUUAACACAUGCAAGUCGAGGGGUAACAGGGUAGCAAUACCGCUGACGACCGGCGCACGGGUGAGUAACGCGUAUGCAACCUGCCUAUAACUGGGGAAUAGCUCCCUGAAAGGGGAAUUAACACCGCAUAACACUAUUGAUUCGCAUGGAUUAGUAGUUAAAUGUAGCGAUACAGGUUAUAGAUGGGCAUGCGUGACAUUAGCUAGUUGGUGAGGUAACGGCUCACCAAGGCUACGAUGUCUAGGGGUUCUGAGAGGAAGGUCCCCCACACUGGUACUGAGACACGGACCAGACUCCUACGGGAGGCAGCAGUGAGGAAUAUUGGUCAAUGGGCGCAGGCCUGAACCAGCCAUGUCGCGUGCAGGAAGACUGCCCUAUGGGUUGUAAACUGCUUUUAUAGUAGAAGAAACACAUCUACGCGUAGAUGUCUGCCAGUAUACUAUGAAUAAGCAUCGGCUAACUCCGUGCCAGCAGCCGC
rnacentral:rRNA from 1 species